rnacentral:rRNA from 1 species
AUUGAACGCUGGCGGCAGGCCUAACACAUGCAAGUCGAACGAGUGGCGGACGGGUGAGUAAUGUCUGGGAAACUGCCUGAUGGAGGGGGAUAACUACUGGAAACGGUAGCUAAUACCGCAUACCAUCGGAUGUGCCCAGAUGGGAUUAGCUAGUAGGUGGGGUAAAGGCUCACCUAGGCGACGAUCCCUAGCUGGUCUGAGAGGAUGACCAGCCACACUGGGACUGAGACACGGUCCAGACUCCUACGGGAGGCAGCAGUGGGGAAUAUUGCACAAUGGGCGCAAGCCUGAUGCAGCCAUGCCGCGUGUAUGAAGAAGGCCUUAGGGUUGUAAAGUACUUUCAGCGGGGAGGCGUUACCCGCAGAAGAAGCACCGGCUAACUCCGUGCCAGCAGCCGCGGUAAUUC